CAGGGCGACAUGUCCCAGCACCCAGACCCUCCAAGCUACUGGCAGCAGCUGGUAAUCAUCUAGGCAGGUGCUCCGCCUGCCGUAGAGGGAGCCCACGGUCAUCUGUGAGGAGGAUGUGUUACACAUGAAGCAGUUUACUUCAAAAGGGUACAUUUGCAUUAUCAGCAGAGAAGAUAGAAAACUGCACAAUUUUAGUUGAUUGCAAACCAAAGAGCCCUUAAGCGGUGCUGUAAUUUCAGUUCCUUCUUGUUGGUUGGCUCCUUCAACAAAGUCUACCAACCAAUUUACGCAACUGCAUUCAGCUGUGUCAAGCUGUAGAUCAGCCAGAGGCUGCAACAACUUCCUGCUUCCUUUGUUUGAAGCAUCUGUUAUGAUAAAAUAGUAAACAAUUCAUGUUUUUGAAUAA